rnacentral:rRNA from 1 species
ACACGUAGGGGCCUGACGUUGUUCGGAAUCAUUGGGCGUAAAGGGCGCGCAGGCGGCCGUCCAAGUCCGGUGUUAAAUGGUCGGGCUCAACCCGAUCAUGCGCUGGAAACUGGGCGGCUUGAGUCCCGUAGGGGAUGCCGGAAUUCCAGGUGUAGGGGUGAAAUCUGUAGAUAUCUGGAAGAACACCGAUGGCGAAGGCAGGCAUCUGGCCGGAGACUGACGCUGAGGCGCGAAGGCGCGGGGAGCGAACAGGUUUAUAUACCCUGGUAGUCCGCGCAGUAAACGAUGCGCACCAGGUGUCGGGCGGCAGCGCCCGGUACCGGGGCUAACGCGAUGAGCGCGCCGCCUGGGGAGUAUGCCCGCAAGGGUGAAACUCAAAUGAAUUGACGGGG